ensembl:lincRNA
CCCUGAGGAGACAGCGGGCAGCAGGCUAGGGGCUGGGCGGCGGUUGAGACAGCGGCUGUAUUGGGGGAUAGGUGACGGUCGCGAGGCUGCCUGAGCUUCUGAGUGAGCUCGGAGCUUUGGAGAACGCGUGAGGGGCGACCUGCGGCGCCAGGAGCGGGCAGAGGCGCGGCGGCGCGGCUGCAGUCUGGGUGGGAAGUUACGGUUUACAGCGAAGUCCACCCAGCGUUUCCGAGGUGAGGGCGCCGCGCCUGGCCGGGCGGGCGGUGAGUCCGGGACCGCGGGUGCACAGCUGGGUCGAGCUGCGGCUGUCCCAAGUUUUGCUGCGAGCGGCGGCGGAGGAGCGGCGGGGGGGAUGGGGAGGCGUGUGCUGCGGCGCCGCCGGGGCCUAAGUUCCCUGCGCUCGAUUCCUCGCCUGCCGCUGCCGCCCGCACCCCACCUCUCGUGGGCGCCGGGGCAGAAACUCGCUAGUGGGUGUUCUGUGGCAUCCCAGGGGGUGGAGGGACGGAGCAGCUUCGGGGGCAUGUCCUCGUAUAUCCUGUGGAGGACACUGACCCCGCAUCCCACCCUUGAGGCCAGAAAUCAGUUCCCUCUGGGGACCUGAGAGGCGAGAGCGCUCGCGUCCCUGACUUGCAAAGUUGGGGUCUUUAGUGGCCUUCGGGAUUUUGCUCCUGUCGGUGUCUCCAGGCUGGUGAUGGGCAAGCCAGGUGUGCCAGGUCCAGGAUGCACGUGAGGAGCGUUUGUAGCCAUCACUGAAUCACCUCAUGACUAGCGGGACAAGCCUCAAAUUAACCGCAGGGUUUCCGGCAAUCUGAAGGCAAAUGCUGUUUAGAUGCAGGCGAAGGUUCCUGGUGACCCAGGCUCUCACCAGCAGAUUGUCCCUUACCGUCCUCCUGAGGGUGUCUGGAGCUUCAGUGCUGUGUGCUCUUGGCCUCCACACUGGGGUGCCACCGACUCCCACUGUCCAGGGCUUCCAGUGGACUCUCCGAGGCACUGAUGCAGAAACUUCCCCAUUCGGUGCACCAAGAGCAGCCUCACACGGUGUGGGCCGACAGGAAGAGCUGCCAGAUCCAACAGUGCUGAAAACUCAUCCCUGUGUGACCUCAUGUAAGCCAUGUAACUUUGUGAACCUGCAGUUUUAUCAUUUAGAAACUUGAAAGAUUUCAUUCUGACACAGAAUGUCAGGUCUCCCAGACCCCAGAAAAUGCAUUGACUUAAAGCCUUUGAUAGAUCUCAAAGCAGUAUCCUUACAGUGUCAUUGGAGGAUGGUGUGGGCUGCAGAGACGGAUGCUUUCAAAUGGAUUGAUCCAGUCCUCCUUCCUUCACUUCCACAUGAAUGCUGGGCAGCCCAGGGUCACACCCACUGCACCCUCAACUCAGGCAAGUCCAGCAGCCAAACUGAGGAGACCCGGGCUACAGAACAGUCUCCCAAGUUCCAGGCUCACAAAACCUAGGUGGGAAUGAAAGCUGAGAAAGUGAGGAGGUGGUUCAGGGGGUCAUUCUUUCCUGCUCAUUCCUCUCACCUCAAACUCACCUACUGCACAGCAACACUGAGGAUCACCAACUAACCCUGACCGGAACCAUGAUCUUGCCAUGUUCUGUUAGUGGAAUGCAACCAAAAAUCCAUGGUGUUAGUCCAACUCAACAAAAUAUACAUCAAACCAUAUUCCACAAGACCUGCUUGUGGCCCUGUUCUUUUCAGUAUAUGGGAAAACAAAAUAGCCUCAGGUUUACAAAAAUUCCCAAGAUAGAUGGUCACACAUGUUUUCAGGAGACCUCUAUAUAAAUGAUUUUGAUCACUUGAUACCUUGAAAAGAGGUCUUGUGGCACUUGAAUGACAUCCAUAAGUGAUAAGUAUGAAAUGUAGUGCUCAGUGACAUUGAAAAACUAAUCAGCCCACAUAGAGGAAGAGCUCUGGACGUAGGGAUGCCAAACUGGUCUAGAGUGUAAUGAAAGCCCAAGAUGGUGCCCCACUGAGAAAAGAAAUCAACAUAACAGUGGGUUGCAGGAAGAAGAAUACUGAGACAGGAAAGAAAACAUUUUUAAAAAUGAAUUAUUCAUUCACUUUCUAGUGGAUACAGAAAAAACUGCAGAAGACCCAGAGGAUAUCAGGGCAGGCUAAAAGUUUGGUAUCUUACACCUGUGGAAAAGCCUUAGGCUCUGUUUUAUCUUAGAGCAGGUGGGGUGACUUCAUGACUGCCAUUAAGAAAAUAUAACCUGUUGGGAAACUGUUUCUGCCUUGACGAUUUUGUACAGACAAGAGCUAAACAGUGAGGAAUAUGCUUAGAUGUAUUGGGAAAGAGAUGGGUCUGUGCCAUUGUCACGAGGUUACACGAAUACUGAGAGUGAAUGCUGAAGGAAUGAUCCCCAUUGGUGGUGACCCUCAGGUGAGACCAGGGUGCCUGUGUUUCAGCAAAGCCUGGGCAAUUGGAAUGCAGGGCUCCUAAGAUUCCACGACACCCCCACCUUCUAAUUCUGUUAUUGCAACUGGAGACGGUUACCUGGCACGCUGGCGACAAUCUUCCUCACUCUUGUCAGACUCUGA